UUGCAAUUGCGUUUGGUUGAUUUCUUUUGAACGGAUAUAUCAUCAUUAAUUUCUUCUUCAGAAUGCAUAAGAUUACGUAUGUAGAACAAAAGAGUUGUGUGGUAGAGGGAAAGGAGUGUUGCUAAAGAUUUUAACAUCAUAUGAUUGAAAAGUAAUGGCCAAUCCAAUUAUGUCAAGGUCAAAAUAAAUAAUUCAUGCAGAUUAUUGAAAAAAGAGAGUUUGCUUGUAGCCACACCAACGAUCAAGUAAGUAAUUAUUGUGGUUGAAGGUUUUAGCGUUACAAUAUAUAAUGCAUACAUGAAUCUAGACCAGAG
rnacentral:lncRNA from 1 species